rnacentral:rRNA from 1 species
CCUACGGGAGGCAGCAGUGGGGAAUAUUGGACAAUGGGGGCAACCCUGAUCCAGCCAUGCCGCGUGUGUGAAGAAGGCCCUCGGGUUGUAAAGCACUUUCAGUGAGGAAGAACGCCUGGUGGUUAAUACCCAUCAGGAAAGACAUCACUCACAGAAGAAGCACCGGCUAACUCCGUGCCAGCAGCCGCGGUAAUACGGAGGGUGCGAGCGUUAAUCGGAAUUACUGGGCGUAAAGCGCGCGUAGGUGGCUUGAUAAGCCGGUUGUGAAAGCCCCGGGCUCAACCUGGGAACGGCAUCCGGAACUGUCAAGCUAGAGUGCAGGAGAGGAAGGUAGAAUUCACGGUGUAGCGGUGAAAGGCGUAGCGAUCGGGAGGAAUACCAGUGGCGAAGGCGGCCUUCUGGACUGACACUGACACUGAGGUGCGAAAGCGUGGGUAGCAAACAGGAUUAGAUACCCUGGUAGUC